rnacentral:rRNA from 1 species
GCUAUUUAAAUGCCUUGAAUAAUUCAGCAUGGAAUAAUGGAAUAUGACUUGGAAAGAGGUGAAUGAGGUAGGAGAGUUGGGGAUUUUUUGGUGGUGUAGGCUUAAAAAACCUGCUCACUAAUGACCCCUUCCCACUCCUACCCCCUCUUCACCUCACUCUUUCGCACUAGUUCGUUGGUUUAGUGUUCCAGGUAAUGAUCAAUAGGAACAAUCGGGGUGGUUGGUAUUUCAUGGUCAGAGGUGAAAUUCUUGGAUUCAGGAAAGACCAACUUCUGCGAAAGCAUUCCGCAAGGGUGUUUUCAUUGAUCAAGAACGAAAGUUAGGGGAUCGAAGACGAUCAGAUACCGUCGUAGUCUUAACCAUAAACGAUGCGGACCAGGGAUUGGAAGACGUUACUUGGAUGACUCCUCCAGCACCUUUGAGAGAAAUCAAUGAGUCUUUGCGCUCCGGGGGGAGUAUGGUCGCAAGGCUGAAACUUAAAGGAAUUGGCGGAAGGGCACACCAGGAGUGGAGCCUGCGGCUUAAAUUGACUCAACACGGGGAAACUUACCAGGUCCAGACAUAGUGAGGAUUGACAGAUUGAUAGCUCUUUCUUGAUUCUAUGGGUGGUGGUGCAUGGUCGUUCUUAGUUGGUGGAGUGAUUUGUCUGCUCAAUUGCGAUAACGAACGAGACCUCAGCCUGCUAAAUAGUAAAGGGAGUGAUCGAGAUGGGGUGAAGAUGGGAAGUUUCAGAG